UGCUACUGGAAAACAAAGCGCUAAGAUCAACAACAACAACAACAGCUUCUCCCUGUUUGCAUGUAUUACCAGGCCUCAAUUUUCUCUUCAGCAUCCUGUCUGACUUGUUUUUCCUUUAAUUAUCAUAAAUCAAGCUUGCAGUCAAAUCCCUCCUUAACGUGAGCUCAACUCACCAUAUUGGGGACCCUUUUGAUUCUCUGGAGACCACAAAGAGUAAUAUCACAGAAGAAAGCUGGUAAGAUUAUUCCAUUGGCUUUUUUUUAACCCAACAAAUAAAAAGGCUUAGUUCACCAACCCAAGCGCCAUUACACGACAGUGAAAGAAAAGCAGGUUUGUGGAUGUCACUGGAUUCCACCUGAUCAGUGUUUUAAAUACCUGGGCCCAUUAUGUCUCCUUCUGUUAGGAAGAAGAGGUAGCAAAACCCUUUCACAUCUGGAGUCCAGCCCAAGAUCAAUGUGUUAGGCAGCAGCUAGCUUUCUAAGGAAUAUUAGAUAAAAGGUAACUUUUUGUAUUGUAUUCCAACUUGGCAAUUCUUCACCUUCCAUUGUUUCUUCAACAGCUUCUCUGACAUCUCACUGAAACAAUUUCCAAGCUAUUCUACGUGUUUCCUUUGUAUAGUACUGUUUUUGUCUCACUGCUAGGUCAUGGGGCAAAACACCGAGUCUCUACAUUAAUCCAUUUUAAGUUUUUGCUGCUCUGCAUAGGGAGUUGUAAGAUCUAAUCUUUAAGACCACCUAGAAAAGCUUGAGUGCUUUGUUGAAUGAUGGCAUGCUAAGGUUUCCUGGCUUGCACAAGGCCAUGUGGGAUUCACAAGAAUAUAAAGUACUUCGGUAACUUCCACUGACAUCUACAGACCAAGUUUCUCCACAAAAUCUCCCACUCUUUGGCAUUUUGUUUAGCACUUCAUUAUUUAGCACCUUUUUAGCCUCAUAGUUACAACAGUUUUCUUUCAGUUGAAGAAAAUAUUUUUCUUCUCUUGAAAUCCUUAUGGAAAAUAAGAGCUAGUUUACAAGGAGUUUUGACAACAUAAAAUCUGUUAUGUUAUUUUCACAGACCUAAACAAUUAAAACUCUGAAAAAUGCUACUGGAUAUUUAUUAGUAUUUAUACAGAGUACUCAUUUUUUUUUUUCCCAGCAAACCCACCAUUUGAUCUAAAUGAAAAAGAGAUUCAAGUCAGCAGCAGUUUGUGUCAACAAGAAUGUUGUUCAUUUUCCGUGCUGAUUCAGCCCUAUGGAUAUUGAAGCAUGAAACUCACAUGAGCAUGUGCAUGGUGCUGCCUUCACACUGUGCGCUAAGUCUGGAGGACUUACACUGUUACCGAAAACAACCAAGGUCUUAUGGCAAUUUUCAGCACUACUUCAUUUGGCCUAUUGUGUUUACCAAAGGAGACACCAAAGGCCUCUCUGAAACGCCUUCAAGAUACGUCUGUUUUACUUACUUGGAUUGAAUUGAUUACUAGUCAGAUUUGGACCAUUCUAGUUUGGUUGCUCCUCCAAGGCUUGUUCCAGAAUGCAAAUGUACUAAGGAAACCACAACCUUUGAGCAGUGUUUGGGUUAAAUGAUUUGAUCAGCAUACCUAAUACACUAUAAAAAUUGCUAAUCCAGAUAAAAUGUUAACGAUUAAAGUUAAUUAUUCAAGCAGGCUAGCUAAACUUAUUGUUAUACUGAAGUAUUGUAGAGCAUCCUCUCUCUCCUUCCCUCUCUGGUUCUGUUUCAUACAAAAUAAUGCUAUGUUUCCCUGGGGAAAUUAUUACAUAGUCUUGUAGAUGGUAGUGGCUUAAAAGUUUGAUGCUGUAUUGACAUAUUUUAAAUAAUGAUUUAAGUAAAUAAGAAAGUCCAUAGAAAUACUUCAGGGUUUGUUUAUUUGUUUGUUUUGUUUGUCUUUGAAGUGACAGGAGUAUAUGUAUAUACAGGAGUAUAUGACCAUGUAUUUAACUAGCCAGCUAUCAUGGGGUACUAAGAGUCAUUUCACUUUUCCUUUUGUCCUUUUGAGCAACCUCAUCUUUAAAGAUCUGGUUGAUCUUUUCUGGUUUUGGUAUGUCCCAGUUCACCAUAAGAUGUCCAAGAGCUUGCUUAGACCUCAAAUAUCCAGGUAAUUACAGCCAAAUAUAUCUCGUUGAAGGCAGGAAUAGUAUUCCUGUUUGUUGUUGUACUGUAAUUCAGGAAAUAUUGCUGAUUGCUAUAAAUCACUGAGACUGAAAUUAGUCAGUUAUUACACUGUCCAUCGUUAUGGUUAGAGGGUGGAUCAGGGCAGUAUUUCUGAGAGGGUGGGUUGUGACACACACGGUAGUCAUGAAACAUGGCCAGAUGUUGGCAAGUUGUUGGAAAUUUUGCAAAUUAUAAAGCAAAGGCAACUUAGCUUCUGUACUCCUGGCAACCUCUAUUUUCCAAGGUCAAGCAUGCUUUUCAGCCUUUCAAGAAAUAUUACAUAGAUUUGUCACUUUUACAAGCAAUAGAUUCAUUUUUAUAAAGAAAAUGAGGGCUGCAUUUUAUUUUCCUUUGAAUAAUGGGACAUCUUAAAAAAAAGCAAUGAACCAAACUAAAAAAUCCUGAGAAAUACUGGCUUAAGGAGUUAGUAGUGGGAUCUAAGUUACUAAUUUUUUCAGUCAUAGUGAUUUAAAUUCAAAUUAACAGGGAACAAGAUAAUUUCUUAGUCAUUCCUGACUAUUUUGUGGCCUCUUUUAAAUGAUUUUAUGAUCUCUGUUUAGCUCCCAUGUUAGAAAAACAAACACUGCUAAAUUAGGUAUGGAGGACUCAGGUACUUGGAAACUAAAUGAUAGCCUUACCCUUACAUUGUUCAGGAUAUUUGACAGGAUCAAACCAUAUUGGACUGGCAGUUUGAGUGACUAUGUGCAGAAUAAAUUUCUACUGUACCCAUUUUCUGAAUAAUCAGAACAUUUCUGUCCCUGAAACUGCCAAAAUAACUCACAUGAAAAUGUAAAAAAAAACUGAAUAAAAAUAAUUUCAUUCCUCUUGGGGAAGAAGUUUAGAACAUUCUCAAGCAUCUUAAUAAAUUAGCUACAGACACCUAUGAUGACUAAUUUUCAAUAAAAGACUUUCUGCUCUAAAAAAUGAGGGACUAGCAUCUUUUCCAAGUUUCCGAUAGCACUCUCCUAGCACGUUGUUCGAGACGAAUGCCUCUUAACUACCAUGUACUUAUUUUUCAUUUAUUUUUUACCUUUCAAAGUCACUAGGCUUACAUUUCUUGUAAAAUAAGUUCUGUAAGCUUUGAGGUGAUAUAUCUUACUUUUUGUGUUCCUUGCUUUCUCUGCUGACUCAAAGGCAAAAAAGAAAUCAAUUGUAAAGAAAUGUAUUUACAGACCUAACAGCUCUCUGUACUGGGGUGAAGUGCAGAGUUUAUGCAAAAUUCUGGCAAUAUCUUGAAAAGUGAGGAAGUAACUUACAAAUCUUCUAGAGAAUAGCCAGCUACGUAGAUCUGAAAGUGCACUGUGGUAUAGCUGACCUGCAGUCCAGAGGACAGGGAGUGCCUAGAAAAUAUAAAGAAGAAAAAGCAUUACUAAGACAGCCAUAAAAUAUGUUAUGUUAAUCUUAUUUACCUCUGUAGUACUGUUCCAUGUGGUUGCCUUGGGAUCAAGACAGCCACUUUUUCGCUGCUUUCAUCUCCAUCCGUUAAACAAAUAUUUGUUGCCUGAAAUGGAAGAGGCAUGGUGGUUGGGUUUUGGUUUUGUUUUGUUGGUUUUGGCUGGUUGGUUGGCUUUGUGGUUUUCUUUUUUCCCCUUCUCUUUGUGAGAUGACAGAGGAGUGCGGGUUACUGUCAAUGCCAGACCUGGCUAACCUUGAAAAGGGGAGACAGGCUCAGAAAUCUCCACCGUGCUGUUGUUACACAGCAGCCUGAGGAGCAACGAUAAAGUGCUGGUUUACUGCGGUGUCAGUGGGCACUGUGACACAGGAAGAACUUAAGAGCAGAGUGCAGUCAUAUUGCAGAGAUCGUGCGCUCUCUGCUCAGCAGGGGAAGCCGGUAGUUUUUCUGUGCUAUAAUUAGCCACUGCCAACGAGUGCACAUUGCGUCACAGGAAUUAGUUUUGUGGCAUUCUCACCUUUGCCUUGCAAAAUGAAGUAUCUUUCAGCGAUAGCUAUUAUGCCAAAGGAGUAAAGUACUAAGGGACCAAAUAUACCCUUAGUUGCCUGGUGAAAGAUACUCAGUCUUCACUAAUAGCAAAGAUUGAUGCCGUUUAAAAGGGAAUGGUGAGUGGUCCGCCGCUGAAUAUAUAUCGACAGAUAUAUAGCUUAUUUUCCCUGGAAUUUCAAUAAUAAGAGAGCGGCUUGUAGUGUUUGGAUAGUGGUUUUAGUUCACAUCUGUUCAUUUAGCAGCAUGUACUUGCCAGAUUGUGUCGGCUUUGUCCUCCGUAGGUCCCUUAGUGUAGGAAAGGAUGGAUCUGUUUUCCAUCACUGCAGCUUCCUCACAGGUGACAAUCUGUGGAUUUUGCAGCCCGGUUUAUUGCAACAAACCAGGCAGAACCUGCCACAAAUCAGUAACGUAUCUGGUAUUUGAUGGACAUAUUAGUGAAUCCUAAGGAUACUUGUUCUGAUUUAAGUAAAACUGUUAUGAAUUAGCGACUCCCUGGAAGCCAAUAAAGUUCCAAAUCUGUGCAAGUCUGUGUGGAACCAGCAAUGGGAUCGGUCGGGUCCUCCCGAGCAACACAUAUCCAAUCAGCUACCUAAUGCGGGUGGAAAAAUUGGGCGAUUCAUGUAAUGGGUCAAAAUUUAAAACUCUCGGCAAUAUUAUAUCUACUGCAUGUUUCCUUGUGUAUCCUUAGGAUUACUUGACUGAUGGUACUUACCAUAGUUUCGUGUCAUACUACUGGUUACUUUCUGUGCUUUAAAUAAAGGCAGUUGAAAUCAGUAA